GCCCUUUCACUCUGACACAGCUCUCAUCACAAUGGCAGAAGCCAAAGCUAUUUUUGUGAGGCAGAAGGACAGGUGUGGCAGGAAAAAAAAGGAUUUUCCACUAGGGAGACGCAAAGCAGAGGAAGGCAUCUCCAUUCCCCAUGAGGUGUAUACAGUUGAGAUACAAGAACAUCAUUCUGGCUCUGAAGAAGCAAAUGCAAGAUGGAUUCCAAUAGACAGCCUGGAGGAGAAGCUUUCCCACUGCAGACAGAGCUUGGAAGAGGUGGAUUUUAAACUACGGAGAGAAGAACUGACUCCUGAGGGAAGAAACUCGCUGGAGAAAGAGAAAAACCUGCUAGCAAGCAAAGCUGAAAGCUAUGGAACACCGGGAAGAAUUCCGACAGUAGAAUUAUCCCAUGUUAUCUUCACAACACCCAUGUGAUGUUAGGCUGAGCACCUCCACUCUGGAGAGCAACCCAACUGGCCAGUCCUGCAGAGAACAUGUAGCAGCUCUUCUGAAUGACUAGCAGAACAGCACACUUCUGUCUGUCAGAUGCCACAGCCAGCAGGCAACAUAAACUGCCACAUAGCACUCCCUGUUCAGCAAGGGAAUUGAGAAAGAACUGAAAGUGCUUCGUCAUGAAAAUCGCAAGAAUGCAGCCCUAUCAGUAGCCCUUGUGCUGUUGGUGGUGGUUAUUUACACCUGCUGGACAAUGUAAGAGCUUUUGCCAGGAUCUCCUAAUGAUGGUGCAAUCAGCUUUCCAAGCCAGUGUGCACUUGGACACCUCCAAUCAUCAUCAUGAUCUAGGCAAUCUUCGACGACACUGAAGGAAAAUUAACUGAGUACAAGCGGUUUGGUUUUACCCUCCCAUUUAUUCUGUGGGGAGCAAUCGUAACAUCUUGAUUUUCCCUGCCAUUGAGACCACCUGUGUGCAAUCAACUCAAGAUGUUGCAGCAUCUCAGGCAUUUUGAAGACAAAAUCCUCUUCUCCUGAAAACAAGGCUGAUCUCCCAGUAUCCUGAUUCCUCAAGCAGGAAGCUCACGCUCUCUAGUCUUCCUCUUUACCCACCUCCCCAAACCCCUGCACCUUUCCUCGCUGCUUUGUUUCCUUAUGAGGCUGCUCAUGAGCCUAGGUGAUACUCGGGCCUGAAGCACCACUAGCAACAUGGCAGAUAACCCCUCUGGAAGAUUCUCAAGAAUCAAGUGUUGGUUUAUAUACUCUCAUAAGGGGAUGCAUCAGAAUAGUCCACUACCUACAAGUCAGCAUGUUUCAUGGUAAAUUAAGAUGAUGGAUAUGUAUACUAGUAGGCACAGACGCCAGACAUACUGCCAUGACUGAAAAGAUGGACAUACCUGUAGAAGCUAAGGAUGUCAGUAUUGACACAGUGUGUGGGGCUUGCAGUGGGGACUAUCUAAACUUGCAUGGAUGGGAGAAGAUUUGUAACUUCUUAAUAAAGGGCCUUUUGAACAUA